AUGUUGUCAUGCCGGGCCUGGGCACACCUGCCGCCGGAGCUUGUCUGCCGCAUCGCCGACGGACUUGACGACCUCAAGUGCUAUGCGGGUGCGCGGGGAACUUGCACGACAUGGCGUUCCACGCUAACUCCGCCGUUGUCAUCGCUGCUCGUGGACCACAGCGACGACCACGGCAAGCGCUGCAUCACCACCGCCAUAGAGCAUCGUACCAUUGUAGCCUCGAUCCUCACGUGUCGCUCCUUCAGGCUCAAACCCAUCUCUUCAUGGCAAUCUCUGCCCUGCUGCAUGCCGCUCCUUCAAGCUCACCACAAUCUCCUCGAUCCUCCUGCCCCCACUGAUCUACGACAGCCGCUCGUCUCCAAGAUGGUCUUUGUACCCAACCCCACCACUAACGACUUCCUCGCCGCCAUGAUAUGUGACAUCAAUAGGCUUGCCUACAUUACUGCUGGGGCCAGGAGGUGGGCCGUCCUCGACCCCAUCCGCCUCGCCGAGGAAGACCAGAUCGCCAACCUGCUCUACCACAGAUAUGGUAUGGUUUACUGCCUCACUCGGUUUGGAGAUGUCCACGUGCUCCGCAUGCCUCAUCACCGCCGCAGGGAACACUGUCAUCCACGAGGGCCACACAUUAGCACAUCAGAUGGUAGCAUAUACCAAAUGUGGAGGAAUGCAGCCUGCAUGGUUAGUUUGCAGCUUCCAGGAGGGUGUCGUUACCUUGUAGAACAUGACAAAGUAUUUGUUCUGAGGUAUGACCCCCAGCGCCAACCAUGUUGGGACGUUGUGGCCAACAUAAGGGGACACUCAGUGUUUUUUGGGAGGAACAAUGCAGUGUCGAUAUAUGCGGAAGGUGUUCCGGGACUCAAGGGUGAUUAUAGAAGAGAUGUUGGGAUGCCACCCGUCGAUGUGGCAGGUCGCAGAUGGGAUAUAGGGGGCGGCUUGCAGGGAUGCUACGACCACGACUGCCAAAGUAGCUGGUUGGAGAGUGUGCUGUUGGAGCGAGAGGCGAUGGCGAGCUGCUGCUAG
rnacentral:rRNA from 1 species